CCUACGGGAGGCAGCAGUGGGGAAUAUUGCACAAUGGGCGCAAGCCUGAUGCAGCCAUGCCGCGUGUAUGAAGAAGGCCUUCGGGUUGUAAAGUACUUUCAGCGGGGAGGAAGGCGAUGGGGUUAAUAACCGCGUCGAUUGACGUUACCCGCAGAAGAAUCACCGGCUAACUCCGUGCCAGCAGCCGCGGUAAU
rnacentral:rRNA from 1 species